GAAACGAACCCGUCCUCUGGAGCGGAAAGCUGCCGGCUUGUUGGGUGCUAGCAAGAACCUAUCCAGGGUCGAGGUUCGGUGUGUCUGUUUCCACGUGCCUCUGUCCUAACCGGCUCCGCCCCUAAAUUUUCAAGUGUACAAGCUCGCCUUCCGCGCCAACUGUUGGAGUUCACCGUGGUGACCAUCUGACAUGUCUCAAACAGCUGCCUCAAAGCAUCCCUCCUCCAGGUGCCCCCUUCCCACCUUCCAGGGGCUAUAAAACAAGCAAACACACAAAGGAGAAUAUGCCACAGAAACUAGAUGUCCACCCUGUGGCCAUGUGUGAUCUGUGAACCAUCUCUUCUGUUGGCUGCAGGAAUCCUGGUGAAAGGUGGCUUUUCUUCCAUCCAGGCAGCAGUGACAAGAGGACAUUUUCAUCAUCCCCAAAAGAAACCCCGUGCCUGUGAGCGAUCCGUUCCCGUUCCCACCCACGCAGCCCCCGACCCAGCCCCUGGAAACCACUCACCUGCGUUCUGCCUCUAUAGAUUUGCCUAUUCUGAACAUUUCAUAUAAAGGGCAUCGUACAGUAUGUGGCCUUUUGUGACAGGCUUCUUUUACUUAGAAUACCUUCAAGAUUCAUCUGUGUUACAGUACGUAUCAGGACUUCAU